rnacentral:piRNA from 1 species
UCCCAUUGCUGAAGUGACUCCCCGGAGAGC